rnacentral:rRNA from 1 species
GAUAAACGCUGGCGGCGCACAUAAGACAUGCAAGUCGAACGGACUUAAUCGAAAUAUUUAUAUUUUGAAGCGGUUAGUGGCGGACUGGUGAGUAACGCGUGGAUAACCUGCCUCAUACAGGGGGAUAACAGUUAGAAAUGACUGCUAAUACCGCAUAAGACCACAGCACCGCAUGGUGCCAGGGGUAAAAACUCCGGUGGUAUGAGAUGGAUCCGCGUCUGAUUAGCUAGUUGGUAAGGUAACGGCUUACCAAGGCAACGAUCAGUAGCCGACCUGAGAGGGUGACCGGCCACAUUGGGGACUGGAGACACGGCCCAA